rnacentral:rRNA from 1 species
CACGUAGGGGGCGAGCGUUGUCCGGAUUUAUUGGGCGUAAAGAGCUCGUAGGCGGCUCGGUAAGUCAGGUGUGAAACCUCCAGGCUCAACCUGGAGACGCCACCUGAUACUGCCGUGGCUAGAGUCCGGUAGAGGAGCGUAGAAUUCCUGGUGUAGCGGUGAAAUGCGCAGAUAUGCGGAGGAACACCGAUGGCGAAGGCAAUCCCCUGGGCCUGCACUGACGCUCAUGCACGAAAGCGUGGGGAGCAAACAGG